AAUAAUUUGUUAUAGUGUUUAAGUUCUUCAUCUUUAAUUGAAGUCAUAUACUGUACUUGCUUAUGCUUUUGGAUGAAUUGAUAAGUAAUUACUAAGAUUUAGUAUUAUUAAAUUAGUAUUUUUAAUGAACUAUCUGUAAUGUUGUCCAAGUUAACACCCCUAGUCUCUCUCUCUCUCUCUUUUUCUUAUCUUUUCUAUUCGAUCUAAUGCAUUUCUAUCAUUGUAUAUACAUGAUUUAACUUCUAUUAUGUCAUUCUAACCACUUCAUUAGGGUGAGAAGAUUCAUGCAAGUGUGAAGAGCAUAUUGAUUUAUAAGUUUAAGCCCUUGCUGAUUGAAGGCAAUGUAUAUGUGCUGGAUC
rnacentral:lncRNA from 1 species